UACGUAGGGGGCUAGCGUUAUCCAGAAUUACUGGGCGUAAAGCGCGUGUAGGCGGCUGGUUAAGUGUGAUGUGAAAUCCUCGGGCUCAACCCGAGAACUGCAUUGCAAACUGGCCUGGCUAGAGUGCAGGAGAGGGAAGCGGAAUUCCAGGUGUAGCGGUGAAAUGCGUAGAUAUCUGGAGGAACACCAGUGGCGAAAGGCGGCUUCCUGGCCUGUAACUGACGCUGAGACGACGAAGGCUACGGGUAGCGAACGGG
rnacentral:rRNA from 1 species